rnacentral:rRNA from 1 species
CCUACGGGAGGCAGCAGUGAGGAAUAUUGGUCAAUGGCCGUAAGUCUGAACCAGCCAAGUCGCGUGAGGGAAGACUGCCCUAUGGGUUGUAAACCUCUUUUAUGCGGGGGUAAAGCGGUCCACGUGUGGAUGUUUGCGAGUACCGCAUGAAUAAGGACCGGCUAAUUCCGUGCCAGCAGCCGCGGUAAUACGGAAGGUCCGGGCGUUAUCCGGAUUUAUUGGGGUUAAAGGGGGCGUAGGCCGGUCUUUAAGCGGGCCGUGAAAUUUUGGGGCUCAACCAUGAGAGUGCGGCGCGAACUGGAGACCUUGAGGGCGCGGAAGGCAGGCGGAAUGCGUGGUGUAGCGGUGAAAUGCUUAGAUAUCACGAAGAACCCCGAUUGCGAAGGCAGCCUGCCGCAGCGUGACUGACGCUGAAGCUCGAAAGCGUGGGUAUCGAACAGGAUUAGAUACCCUGGUAGUC